UACGGAGGGUGCAAGCGUUGUCCGGAAUCACUGGGCGUAAAGGGCGCGUAGGCGGCUCAUGAAGGCUGUGGUGAAAGUCCGAGGCUCAACCUCGGAUCGGCCGUGGCGACUCGUGGGCUGGAGCACUGUAGAGGCGGGUGGAAUUCCGGGUGUAGCGGUGGAAUGCGUAGAGAUCCGGAAGAACACCAGUGGCGAAGGCGGCCCGCUGGGCAGUGGCUGACGCUGAGGCGCGACAGCGUGGGGAGCAAACAGG
rnacentral:rRNA from 1 species